rnacentral:rRNA from 1 species
GACGAACGCUGGCGGCGUGCUUAACACAUGCAAGUCGAACGGAAAGGCCCUGCUUUUGUGGGGUGCUCGAGUGGCGAACGGGUGAGUAACACGUGAGUAACCUGCCCUUGACUUUGGGAUAACUUCAGGAAACUGGGGCUAAUACCGGAUAGGAGCUCCUUCUGCAUGGUGGGGGUUGGAAAGUUUCGGCGGUUGGGGAUGGACUCGCGGCUUAUCAGCUUGUUGGUGGGGUAGUGGCUUACCAAGGCUUUGACGGGUAGCCGGCCUGAGAGGGUGACCGGCCACAUUGGGACUGAGAUACGGAGCAGACUCCUACGGGAGGCAGCAGUGGGGAAUAUUGCACAAUGGGCGGAAGCCUGAUGCAGCAACGCCGCGUGCGGGAUGACGGCCUUCGGGUUGUAAACCGCUUUCGCCUGUGACGAAGCGUGAGUGACGGUAAUGGGUAAAGAAGCACCGGCUAACUACG